UACGUAGGUGGCAAGCGUUGUCCGGAUUUACUGGGCGUAAAGGGCGUGCAGGCGGCUUGUUAAGUGCAGGGUGAAAGCUCCCGGCUCAACUGGGAGAGGUUCUUGCAUACUGGCGAGCUCGAGGGAGGCAGAGGAAAGUGGAAUUCCCGGUGUAGUGGUGAUAUGCGUAGAUAUCGGGGAGGAACACCGGUGGCGAAGGCGGUUCUCUGGGCCUGUACUGACGCUGGAGGAGCGAAAGCGUGGGGAGCGAACAGG
rnacentral:rRNA from 1 species